UUCCUUAACCAAAGAGGAGAGAGGAAAGUAUAUUUAAAAGUCCCAGUGGAAUCUUACAAACUAGACGUAUGCUGUAGUGUUUUUCAGAAGAAGAGGUACUUUUCUUUGAUAGCAUCAAAUGUAUGUAUAUAUCUACAUGCAGUGGUUGGAAUUGGGAUGGGGAAGGGGAGUGAAGUAGAAGACACUACUUGAAAAGCUGUGAGUGACCCCUUGAUCAUGUUCCCACAGAAGUUCCAGGGCAGCACUUGCUGUGAAUAUAACUCCCUUGCACGGUCCCCAGGUGAGUUACAAGAAAGUGUCAAACACUGUGAUGGUCUUUUCUCCCUGUGGUAUUUCAUGGGUUGGUUGUUCUGUACGGAGGCUCAGAAUUACCGUGUUAAAGGAUAAAGGCUCUUCAGUGGGACUGCAGUUGGAUGAUUUGAAAUAUUACCAGUGUUGUAAAAAGGAUACGUAGCCUUAAUUGCAGGCUUUUAUGUUGGGGUUGUGUGUUGGAAGAGUAUAGUAAAAUGAAAUAAAACUUCGUUUAAAACGCCCUUCACUUUCUUAGCUCAUACAACUGAUAAGGAUGGAAAAGUCAUUUUAAAGAACAAGCUUGAAUUGAACUUUCUGAUGUACUCAUCUUUGGCUGUGGGGUAAUGCAGUCAGUGCACCUGCUCUGCAUUUGCCUGCCUCGCUAGAGAUCAUGUUGUGAAUGUGUGGGAAAAGAAGGGAGGCGAUUUCAAAGGUCUGUUUUAACAAAGGCAGGUAAAGAAUUUAACUUCUUAAUAUAUUAAAUAUAUUAAAAUAAUAUCUUUAUGAUGCUCACUGGCUAGGGAACCUGCUGUCUUUGUUAAGCAUUUUAACGUGUACAUGCAUAUCUUUCUGGUGCAUGCACAUAGAUAUUGGUAUGUAACUGGUGUGUUGCAAAAUGUACAAAUGUUUGAAGAAAUAACAAUUUAAUGCACAGAUGACUUACUCAGUUUAUCUGAUGGUAUCUUUGGGAACUAAGCUCUGUGCACUCUUGCAUAUAAAGUGGAAGUGUAUUCUAGUCCUAAAGAAAAAGCAGACAUGCUUAUAAACCUACGUGUCUGGUUUUCGAGUCUUCUGUCUUCCCUUUCAUGCCUUCAAAAUAGUUUGCUUUAGUGUUUUGCAGUACUGUACACUGUUGCCUGAAUCUGUGAAGGUUGUGUGUUGGUUUUUUUGUUGGUUUUCUAAGACAAGAAGUUCUUCCUGUUAACAGAGGAAAUACGGUGGAGCAAUUUUUUUCUGGCUACUUCUUGAUGGAAUUUGCUGCUGACUCCUUCACUUAAACUAGUAGGACAGUGUCCAGAUAAUGAAAGAGUGGUAUUUUUUUCCAGGUGUAGCAUAUGUUGCAACCAGACACCUUAUAUUUACAUUGACUCUCCUUCUCCCCCUCAGUAUCCUGGCCACUGCCACUUUGUGUGCCCUCAAAGGUACUGCAUGGUUUGCUUCAUCUCUGUCUCCCAAGUGGCAGCCGACCCCAGCAGGGAGCUGAGAGUAACUGCACACAUGAGAUCUGCCUGUUAAAACAGUGUCUGGUGUCCUUAUGAGCUUGUAAUCUGAAAAGUAAGUAGUUGCAUUGCAAACCGAACAGCCUUAACUCAGCUAUGAAAGUAUCUAAUAGAUCACAUAGAAUCGUGAGGCUUCUUUUCUAUCUCUUUCUGAUGCCAGUGCACUCAAAUCUUGUGUGCUGACAGUGCUUACUGAAACAUCACAUGUCUGUUCUUCAGCAGUGUGCAGGAAGCAAAAGCAGAUGUGCCUGCCUUGUACAUGCUAAGUUUGCAGUCUGUAAGGAGGACAGGUUUAUGUAGUAGCUGGGCAGCAGUUAUCACCUCUUGGUGAGCAGAGGGAACUCUUCCAGGUUCUCACACAUCCAGCAGUGGUUGUGAUCUCACUGAAAGUGCAGCAAAACUAGUGAAAGCAAGGGGCUGCAUCCCACUGUUACAGCAAAAGACUCUGUGGAAGUGUCUGUCUGCCAGAAGGCUCCUGAUGACAAGAAGUGUAUUUACUCACAUUCUGAGGAGAACAUGAGAUGGUUGUGCAUGUAUGUUCCCUCACGAUAGUGUUCUGGCUGUGAAGGUCUUUUCCUAGGCAUGCUGCCUUUCGAGAAAUAUUAAAAAUAUUUUUCAAGUUAGUCAUGAAAUAGAAGAAAUCCUUAAAUUUGGUCAUGGAGGAGAAAAGAGACCAAACUCCUGAAGCCCUUUUCAUGCACUUCUUGUUUACAGUUGUUUUCCCUGGGGGACACUUCAUGGCUUUUUGCACAGCUCUGCUCAUAGAAAAGCGAGUUAACUUUUCAUCUCUGCUGCACAGAGUUUCUCACAGUUAUUAUUUGGAAGCAAUUGUCCUAAUGUGAGUUGUUAUCUUGAUUUGUGUUGCAUCUGUUUCCCCCCCUCUGCAUUGUGUUGGGUUUCUUUCCCUUUGUUCUUCAUCCCUAGGGUAAUUUACAGAAGGUGGCAGGUGUCUUUUAAAAACAUGUUAUUGAGGUUUGUGCUAUAGAACAACACCAGCAAACAAAAUAGCAGUGCAGCAUGUUUCAGUAUUCGAGUAUCAAGGUGUUUCUUUUGGUUUAGCACAUGACAAAGUUGGCACGUUGGCUGUACUCAGUGUUUGUCCUGUAAGCUGAAAAUCACACAGGUUUUAAAUUGUGAGGAAAGGUGGGAAAUUCUAACAUAGAUCUGCUGGGCCUCCCUUUUAAAAUUCUUUUUCUUAUUUCAGGGAGGGUUACUGUUUUCCUAUGCAUUAAAUAGUGUGUUCCCAGAUGUGUGUUCAUGUGUGAAUGCUGAUAUCUGAUAGGCACCUACUACAGUCUGUGCAGCCCAAGUGCCUACAACUAAUGAACUGAUCUGUUUUUUCUUUGUGUGCUGAAUUUUCCAUUCACCUUAAAAUAGACACAUAUCUAUGGCAGUUUGUAAACAAGUGUUCUUUCCCUUCCUAUGCCCUGGUUUUGUCAUGACUGGUGUUACAUUUUAGUUCUUGAAGCCUUCUAUCCUCUACAUUCCAAGCACUUUCCAUUUAUCACGUGGCUAGCUUUCCUUGUGAAAGGAAGCUAUCCAUUUGUCUGUAUAUUUUUCUUCAAAGAACUGAGUUAAAAUAAAUUAAUCCAAGAAUACUUGGUCUUGUAAACCUCCUUAUUUAAGUAGUUCUUUUUAAUUGGCUAACAAAACAUUAACUUUGCUACCGCCAGACUAAUUAUGUCUGACAAGUCGUUUCUCAGCUAAUUCAAAUGAAUGUAGUAUUGAGCUUUUAUACAGUGCAUCAUGGAGCAUUAUGGGAUAAGAACGAUGUGGCGUUGUGAAGAAUGGCACUGAGAAAGGACAAUGUCUGCAUGUAGUCCUGGUCUUUUGUAAGUCAGUGCAGUGAGCAUGUGAAAUGCAGAGAGUGAGGAAUUAGAAGUGGUUGCCACUAACUUGUUUUGCAUUGUUGCUUAGAAUCAUAAGCAGAAAUGGUAUCUUUGCCUUACAGGGCUUUUGCUGGUUAACUUUACUGUUGCACAGAAAGUGUUUUUGAAGUUCACAUCGGAUAGUGGUCAUUAUUUAUAAGAGGAUCAUCCCCAUAUAUCGACCUCUAUCCUUUCAGGCCAGAUUUCUUCUGAGCAGAGACACAAGUUGGGUGUUGGGGUGGUUGUUUUUUUUUUUAAGCUUUUCUUAUUUGUGAAAUUGGAAGACUUGUCUGCUACUGAAUUAAUACAGAAAAUGCUGCUUUCCCUUGAAGCUGUAAUUCAUUCUUUCCAAAUCAUCAUCAGCUCAGUGUUACUCUUGUCUAAAUGCUUCCUGUAUCAAGCACCAUGGAGGGCAGAACAGUCUCCUGCUACAAAGAGAAGAUGUGCUCUUCUGCUAGAGAAACAAACUCAGAUUGGAGAGGCUGAAAAAUGCAGGAGCUGUGUGAUAGAGGAGGGCUAGGUGAGGCAGGUCAAACCGUGUCCAUGCAGAGCUCGAUCUGAGUGUUUUCAGCAUGCCCUCCCCUGUUGUUACUGUGUGCUUUGCCAAAACCUUUUGUCCUGCAGCGUGGUCCCACCAUGCAGGCUGUGAAUGAUGUGCUUUAUUUCUAUUAUAUUCUCAGUGGGUUUUUUCAUUUUAGUUUUGAUGUGAAGUUACAUCCAUAUGGGUAUGUAUUAAUGAUGUUUCUAGGGUCAUAUUUACUUUGCUUGCUUGCAUUUUGUACUUCUCUUUCUUAAAAUUUUGUCUUGAAAGAAAUUCAUAAAAUCCAUGGCUAGCUCUGAUACUGCAAUAAAACUUCAUUCCAGAACACAUGAAAUCAUUGCUUCAAAUUAAUACGAGGAGUUAUGGGCUGGCUUGUCUUGGCUUGAGCACUUCUGUGUUUUAAAUGUAAUCAAAUCUAUUAGAGUGAUUGAGCUACAACUUUAUAAAGCUAUUUAUCAUAGCCAAGUUCAUUUGUGAUUCUCUUUUAUAACUUUUUCUGAAGUUUUAUCAGAAUAUUCCUCAAAUUGUUUCCCCCUUUACCUCUUUCUGUCGUUCUGGCUUGUGAAACCUGGUGUGAGUGGAGCAGGAAGGAGCUCAUCUUGUUCUUGUAGCUCUUGUUUGAAGGGGUGAAAUAUACACAGCUUUGCCCUUAACUGCUGGAGGGGCCCAUGCAGGUAAGAGGCUGUGUACAAUCACACAUACACAUUUAUUUAUAACCUCACAACUGCUAUCCUUGGGAAAACUACCAGUCCUUACUGUUCUAAGAUGAAAACACUGGUCAAAAUGUUGCUAUUUGUGUUAUACCUUUUGCGUGCAUGGUAGGGAAACUUCUCAGAGCAAAUGUAUGAUUUCCCACACGGUUAUAAGGGUUUGUCCAGGCAUCAUGUGGUGUGGAGAACUGCUUGGCAAAGCUGUGCUGAUGGCGUUUAUGCUGGGAGGUCACUUGGUAAGAAGUGUGUCUGCUGGUUUUAAAUAGAAAAGAAAAUGGAUUUAAUGGCGGAAUGUUCUUUUCCUUUAGAAAAUACUGAGUUGUAGUGGUGUGUUCACAUGUUGCACGCCAGUAGUGCAGCCCUGGGCUGUUGGGGUUACAGGUACCUGCUUAGAAAGCAAAUGGGAUGAAAUUGAAGCUGCUUUAAGGAGAAAAAAAAAAAAAGGCAUGUGGCUGCUCCAAAGGUAUGCUGGUGGUCAGCGCUGGAGCUGGAAUUCAAUCUUGUUCCGUGGGUGUUAAUUUUGGACUUGUUGCUCUAUUUCUGUCUGCACAGUGCUUGUGGCCAUGUGAUAAUCUCUCAGAUAAAAGUAAUGCACAGACAGGUGUUCACCGAGCUUAGAUAUGUACAGUAACUGCAUGCUGCCUCUGUUACAAUGGCGUGAUGGACAGCAAAGUGCUCUCCUGUGCUGUUCUUCUGCCUGCUGUCUGAUGCGAGUCUACAGAUUGCUAUGUUAGUCCAGAAAAUACACACAGAAGUAUUUUGGAAGGGUUUUAUUCCUGUGUAUUGUGUUGUUAGUGAUCAACACCUUCAUUCCUGCACAUGAAAAUAGUUGGCCACUGCAGAUCUCCAGUCACUUCCCCUCUGCAGCCAACAGCUGAGUAUCCUGCAUAGAGCAGAGCCUUGCCUUAGUCAUUAUCAUCUUCCUUAUGGACAUGGAAUUGAUCUUUUUAAAAGAAAAAUACUAUGUUGCUUUUUGGCUUUAUUUUUCUUGUCUGUGUGAAUGUUGAAGACUGCUGUGCUCUCUUUAAUUGUCUUUGAGUUAAACCAUCCUAACUGUUGGAUCCUGUUACCACUUCUAAAAGUACAAGUCAUGUCAUUACUGCUGUUGCACAGUGGACUUUGAUUUAUUCCAAGUAUUUCAUGCAUUUUUUUCAACAUGAUAUUGAAUUAGAUGCAAAAGUACAGGAUUGUUAACAUCUUGGGAGCCAAUACUUGUUAUCAGCCUUGUUCUGUCUUGCUUUUUGCCUCAUUUUUCAGAACUGGAAGGCAUUUUUUUUCCAGGUGUGUGUGUGUAUAUGUGUGUGUAGGCAAACUACUGGGGUCAUGCAAAGUGAUGCAGAUCUUGGAAUACCAAUAUUUUGUCUAAUUUCUUUGUACAUACAGUCACUAUGAAAACAGGUACUGUUGAAGACUUGCUUUUGAGGUCCUUGUACUGCUGAAUUCCAAGAGGCAACCCCAUUGUAACCUAUAUGUAUAGCUUUAAAACAUGACUUGUUGGAUGCGUAUUAGAGCUGUAUAAACAACUAAUAAACAUUAUUGUUUGUAUUAAGAUGGAUACCUUACCUCUUCAUUUUAGAUUAUCCAUACCAUUUUCAGAGCAGGUUUGACAUUUUUUUUCCUCUGUGUGUAUAUGUAAAUGUUUAUGUAUGUGUGUAUAUAUACAGGAAUGAUUUAGAACUUGGUGCACUGCAGGAUGUGGCACAGUACACCAGCAGAGCUGCUGCUCUUGGCAGCAGUAGGUGAGCACUGCUUUAACUCCACGAAUAGCAAUUUGGGCAAGUCUGAUCCCACCUGCUGUGCUGCUGCCUGCCCAGCUCCGUGUUGCUGUCCAGGAGCUCAGAGCUUGCACAAGCUCCUUUUCAGAUACACCAUAACCUCCCAGCAGCAAGCCCUGCUGCAGUGUGCCCUGUGGUGAGGAGAAGGAGGUGCUGUGGGCUGUCCUGUGGGACAGAGAGCUUCUUUUGCAUGUCUGCCAGGUGCAUGAGGGAGAACUCAAGACUGCUGGGAGAACGUGGUAAUGAAUUGCUACUUGUGUGCUGCCUGUGCCUGCUGACAGCUAACAGCAUGGACAAGGUAGAAUUGUUCCUGUAGCUUUUCUACAAGGCCUCAGAACCCUACUCACCAUCCUCCAUCCUCUGCCCAGACCCUUAUACAUGCUGCUCAUCACCUCUACACCUCAGCAUAGAAAUGAACCUGUGCCAUUGCUUCAGCAGGAGGCAAAGUGCUGCCUUAAAACCAGCUGGUUUUAUACAGAUUGCUUUGGGCAGCAGGUGUAAAGCUUUUCAUCUGCUGUGAAACAGAAUCAUUGUCAGUGCAAAGCUUUUGAGUAAGAGUAAUGAAAGAAAUACAGGCUGGGAUGUGGUAGAGGUUUAUGGAGACACAACUCCUGCUGUUGUUGGUUUUUCUGCUUCUUGGUGACGGGAAGGUUUCAGAUGCAGGCCAUCUUUCCCACACUGUCACCAGUUGCCAAGCCUGCUCUUCCUCUCAUGUAGCAUGAGUGGAUCCACCGACACAGAGGAGCAUGGCUGGAGCUGCUCCAGUUUACAGCUGCUUCAGGUUUUCUGCCAGUCACAUCUGGAUCAAACCCAGGAUUAUCAGGCGUUUCCAUGCACCAGUGUUUGCAUGCUGCUCUGUGCUCCAGUCCCAAAGCCCUGUGAAUUGUCUCUGCAGCCACUGCUUGUCUGGCUGCUCCUCCUGGGCUGCUUCUUUCCAGCAAGGCCAGAUGGGGGCAGAAUCCUCCUUUUUAUUGUAAAUCCUUUA